GUGCUGUGAGGACUUACCUUAGGACGCCUUUGGAAUACCCGUGGGGAAAAAAAAACAAGAAAACAAUUCUGAGCAAC